UUUCCCUAGGUGAACCUGCGGAAGGAUCAUUCAUAAUAAAGUGUUUUAUGGCACUUUUUAAAAAUCCAUAUCCACCUUGUGUGCAAUGUUAAGUCUCUCGUUCAAGACAGUUUCGACUGUUCUUGGGCAGGGUCUUUAUAUAUCAACUCUUUCUUAAACCAAUUUGUCUGAAAACUAUUAUGAAUACUUAAUUCAAAAUACAACUUUCAACAACGGAUCUCUUGGCUCUC
rnacentral:misc_RNA from 1 species